rnacentral:rRNA from 1 species
CCUACGGGUGACAGCAGUGGGGAAUAUUGGGCAAUGGGCGCAAGCCUGACCCAGCAACGCCGCGUGAAGGAAGAAGGCUUUCGGGUUGUAAACUUCUUUUGUCAGGGACGAAGCAAGUGACGGUACCUGUGGAAUAAGCGACGGCGAACAACGUGCCAGCAGCCGCGGUAAUACGGAGGGGGCAAGCGUUAUCCGGAUUUCUUGGGUGUAAAGGGCGUGUAGGCGGGAAUGCAAGUCAGAUGUGAAAAUUAGGGGCUCAACCCAUGGCCUGCAUUUGAAACUGUAUUUCUUGAGUGCUGGAGAGGCAAUCGGAAUUCCGUGUGUAGCGGUGAAAUGCGUAGAUAUACGGAGGAACACCAGUGGCGAAGGCGGAUUGCUGGACAGUAACUGACGCUGAGGCGCGAAAGCGUGGGGAGCAAACAGGAUUAGAUACCCCAGUAGUC